GAGAUGUGGAGGAACACCAGUGGCGAAGGCGACUCUCUGGUCUGUAACUGACGCUGAGGAGCGAAAGCGUGGGGAGCGAACAGGAUUAGAUACCCUGGUAGUCCACGCCGUAAACGAUGAGUGCUAAGUGUUAGGGGGUUUCCGCCCCUUAGUGCUGCAGCUAACGCAUUAAGCACUCCGCCUGGGGAGUACGGUCGCAAGACUGAAACUCAAAGGAAUUGACGGGGGCCCGCACAAGCGGUGGAGCAUGUGGUUUAAUUCGAAGCAACGCGAAGAACCUUACCAGGUCUUGACAUCCUCUGACAAUCCUAGAGAUAGGACGUCCCCUUCGGGGGCAGAGUGACAGGUGGUGCAUGGUUGUCGUCAGCUCGUGUCGUGAGAUGUUGGGUUAAGUCCCGCAACGAGCGCAACCCUUGAUCUUAGUUGCCAGCAUUCAGUUGGGCACUCUAAGGUGACUGCCGGUGACAAACCGGAGGAAGGUGGGGAUGACGUCAAAUCAUCAUGCCCCUUAUGACCUGGGCUACACACGUGCUACAAUGGACAGAACAAAGGGCAGCGAAACCGCGAGGUUAAGCCAAUCCCACAAAUCUGUUCUCAGUUCGGAUCGCAGUCUGCAACUCGACUGCGUGAAGCUGGAAUCGCUAGUAAU
rnacentral:rRNA from 1 species